CUAUAAAUAAAAUACAACCGCCCCCAUUGAGUGGUUUGCAUCAUCAACACUUCUUCUUCAUCAUCCUUCCUUACUUCUACGGUUUCCCAUUGUUUCUAUGAUCAUUCUCUUCGUUAUCCUCUUUAAUUUUUGUUUAUCUGCGAAGAUCGAAUCAAUUUCAUAGAAAAUUUCCGAAAUUCAAGGUUUAAUCGUUGAGCAUUUUGUAAUAGCCGACAUCGCAUACGUAGAGGAUGAAACACGGUGAUAUUUCAUCUGAGGCGGCGCCCGGCGGCGAAAAUAUAUUCAGUUGUGAUGAAGCCGAUGUUUCAUCCGCCGAUCAUCUCGUAGUCAUGGUCAAUGGAAUACUCGGAAGUUCUGCGGAUUGGAAAUUUGCUGCAGAGCAGUUUGUUAAGUCACUGCCAGACAGAGUAUUUGUUCAUCGCAGUGAAAGAAAUGCGGCAUCUCAGACAUUGGAUGGUGUAGAUGUAAUGGGCGAGCGAUUAUCUCAGGAGGUCCUUGAAGUGAUUAAGCAAAAGCCAAAUCUUCAUAAGAUUUCUUUUGUUGCACAUUCUGUGGGAGGCUUAGUGGCAAGAUAUGCUAUUGGGAGAUUGUAUAGGCCUCCAAAGGAAAAUACAGAGGAUUUGUCGGUUGAAAACUGCGAGGAAGGAAAGGCCACCAUAGGUGGUUUGAUUCCAAUGAACUUUAUUGCUGUUGCAACACCUCAUCUUGGUUCAAGGGGAAAUAAGCAGGUGCCUUUUCUUUUUGGUGUAUCUGCCCUCGAAAAAGCUGCUGUUCUUGUUAUACAUUGGAUAUUUAGAAGAACAGGCCGGCACCUUUUCCUUACAGAUAAUGACGAAGGGAAGCCUCCACUACUUAAACGCAUGUUGGAAGAUGAUGGUGAUUGUUAUUUCAUGUCAGCAUUAAGGUCAUUUCAUCGCCGGGUGACAUACUCAAAUGUAGGCUAUGACCAUAUCGUCGGAUGGAGAACUUCAUCAAUCAGGCGCAACACAGAACUGCCCAAGUGGGAGGACUCCGUAAAUGAGAAGUAUCCUCAUGUCGUGUAUGAAGAACGCUGCAAGGCAUGCGAUUUUGAUCAGGAUUUGACAAGCAGUAAUGAUACAAAAGAUGUAGAAGAGGAACUGGUGACUGGUCUUUCUCGUGUAUCGUGGGAAAAAGUAGACGUCAGUUUUCACAACAGUAGAUCGAGGUUUGCUGCUCAUAGUGUUAUUCAGGUGAAAGAUCACAACCUGCAUACAGAUGGGGCAGAUGUUAUUCAACACAUGAUAGAUCAUUUUUGUCUCUAAACGUCAUGCCAGAUCCUAAUAUUAAAGGUCCUGGCACAGGGUGUACGUCUCUUUUCUAAAGGAAAAACGUGUUCAAAAUGAACAUAGAAAGAAAGAAGGGGUGAUGCCAUGCACGAGGAGUUGCAAGAGAGUAGUAGUAAGUAGUACGUACGUAGUUUACAAGUAAUAUAUAUGUAGUAGCAAGAAUUAUUAUGUGUUUAUUUUAUUUUUUAUUUUAUC